ensembl:lncRNA
UGGUAAUGUUGUUUUCUAUGGGACCAGACAGGAAGAGGUGGUAAUGUUGUUUUCUAUGGGACCAGACAGGAAGAGAUGGAGGUGGUAAUGUUGUUUUCUAUGGGACCAGACAGGAAGAGAUGGAGGUGGUAAUGUUGUUUUCUAUGGGACCAGACAGGAAGAGAGAUGGUAAUGUUGUUUUCUAUGGGACCAGACAGGAAGAGAGAUGGUAAUGUUGUUUUCUAUGGGACCAGACAGGAAGAGAUGGUAAUGUUGUUUUCUAUGGGACCAGACAGGAAGAGAUGGUAAUGUUGUUUUCUAUGGUACCAGACAGGAAGAGAUGGUAAUGUUGUUUUCUUCUGUGAUGAAAUGUAAAGUGCCUUCGGAAAGUAUACAGACCCCUUGACUUUUUCCACAUUUUGUUACGUAACAACCUUAUUCUAAAAUUGAUUUUAAAAAAUUGUUUCCUCAAUCACAAUACCUCAUAAUGACAAAGAAAAAACGGGUUUUUAGACAUUUUUGCUAAUUUAUUCAAAAUAAACUGAAAUAUCAUACUUACACAAGUAUUCAGACCCUUUACUCAGCACUUUGUUGAAGCACCUUUAGCAGCGAUUACAGCCUCCAGUCUUCAUCGGUAUGAAGGUAACUUGGCACACCUGUAUUUGGGGAGUUUCUCCCAUUCUUCUCUGCAGAUCCAAGCUAUGUCAGGAUCGAUGGGGAGCGUCGCUGCACAGCUAUUUUCAGGUCUCCAGAGAUGUUCGAUCGGGUUGGUGCCAGAUUUCCUCCAGACGUGACACUUGGCAUUCUGGCUAAAGAGUUCAAUCUUGGUUUCAUCAGACCAGAGAAUCUUGUUUCUCAUGGUCAGAGUCCUUUCGGUGCAUUUUGGUAAACUCUAAUGUAAAUAUAAAUAAGGUAUUUCUGUUUUGUAUUUGUUUUUACAUUUGCCCAAAAUAAAAAUAAAAACAGUUUUUGCUUUGUCAUUAUGGGGUAUUGUGUGUAGAUUGCUGAGGAUUUUUAUUUAUUUAAUCAAUUUUUGAAUAAGGCUAUAACAUAACAAAAUGUGGAAAAAGUCCAGGUGUCUGAAUACAUUCCAAAGGCACUGUGUACUUCCUAAAUGUCACCCUGUUCCCUUUAUAGUACACUACUUUUGACCAGG